rnacentral:rRNA from 1 species
AACGAACGUUGGCGGCGUGGCUUAGGCAUGCAAGUCGAACGAGAAAGUUUCCUUCGGGGAGCGAGUAUAGUGGCAAAAGGGUGAGUAAUGAUUAGUUAACCUACCCCUAAAACUGGGAUAACUACCCGAAAGGGUUGCUAAUACCGGAUGGUCUAUGAGAGAUGCAUAUCUUUUAUAGUAAAGGCGCUCGCAAGGGUGUCGAUUAGGGAGGGGAUUAAUUCCUAUUAGCUAGUUGGUGAGGUAAUGGCUCUACCAAGGCAUUGAUGGGUAACCGAUCUGAGAGGAUGACCGGUCACACUGGGACUGAGACACUGCCCAGACUCCUACGGGAGGCUGCAGUCGCGAAUAUUCCGCAAUGGACGCAAGUCUGACGGAGCGACGCCGCGUGUGGGAUGAAGGCCUUAGGGUUGUAAACCACUGUCACACUUUAAGAAAUCAAUUAGGGUAACUCCUAGUUGUUGACAAAGGAGUGGAAGGAAGUCACGGCUAACUACGUGCCAGCAGCCGCGGU